rnacentral:rRNA from 1 species
GCUAUCUACAGGCUUAACACAUGCAAGUCGAGGGGCAGCAUGGUCUUAGCUUGCUAAGGCCGAUGGCGACCGGCGCACGGGUGAGUAACACGUAUCCAACCUGCCGUCUACUCUUGGACAGCCUUCUGAAAGGAAGAUUAAUACAAGAUGGCAUCAUGAGUCCGCAUGUUCACAUGAUUAAAGGUAUUCCGGUAGACGAUGGGGAUGCGUUCCAUUAGAUAGUAGGCGGGGUAACGGCCCACCUAGUCUUCGAUGGAUAGGGGUUCUGAGAGGAAGGUCCCCCACAUUGGAACUGAGACACGGUCCAAACUCCUACGGGAGGCAGCAGUGAGGAAUAUUGGUCAAUGGGCGAGAGCCUGAACCAGCCAAGUAGCGUGAAGGAUGACUGCCCUAUGGGUUGUAAACUUCUUUUAUAAAGGAAUAAAGUCGGGUAUGGAUACCCGUUUGCAUGUACUUUAUGAAUAAGGAUCGGCUAACUCCGUGCCAGCAGCCGCGGUAAUACGGAGGAUCCGAGCGUUAUCCGGAUUUAUUGGGUUUAAAGGGAGCGUAGAUGGAUGUUUAAGUCAGUUGUGAAAGUUUGCGGCUCAACCGUAAAAUUGCAGUUGAUACUGGAUAUCUUGAGUGCAGUUGAGGCAGGCGGAAUUCGUGGUGUAGCGGUGAAAUGCUUAGAUAUCACGAAGAACUCCGAUUGCGAAGGCAGCCUGCUAAGCUGCAACUGACAUUGAGGCUCGAAAGUGUGGGUAUCAAACAGGAUUAGAUACCCUGGUAGUCCACACGGUAAACGAUGAAUACUCGCUGUUUGCGAUAUACUGCAAGCGGCCAAGCGAAAGCGUUAAGUAUUCCACCUGGGGAGUACGCCGGCAACGGUGAAACUCAAAGGAAUUGACGGGGGCCCGCACAAGCGGAGGAACAUGUGGUUUAAUUCGAUGAUACGCGAGGAACCUUACCCGGGCUUAAAUUGCAGAUGAAUUACGGUGAAAGCCGUAAGCCGCAAGGCAUCUGUGAAGGUGCUGCAUGGUUGUCGUCAGCUCGUGCCGUGAGGUGUCGGCUUAAGUGCCAUAACGAGCGCAACCCUUGUUGUCAGUUACUAACAGGUUCCGCUGAGGACUCUGACAAGACUGCCAUCGUAAGAUGUGAGGAAGGUGGGGAUGACGUCAAAUCCGCACGGCCCUUACGUCCGGGGCUACACACGUGUUACAAUGGGGGGUACAGAGGGCCGCUACCACGCGAGUGGAUGCCAAUCCCCAAAACCUCUCUCAGUUCGGACUGGAGUCUGCAACCCGACUCCACGAAGCUGGAUUCGCUAGUAAUCGCGCAUCAGCCACGGCGCGGUGAAUACGUUCCCGGGCCUUGUACACACCGCCCGUCAAGCCAUGGGAGCCGGGGGUACCUGAAGUGCGUAACCGCGAGGAGCGCCCUAGGGUAAAACUGGUGACUGG